rnacentral:rRNA from 1 species
CUGGCUCAGAUUGAACGCUGGCGGCGUGCUUAACACAUGCAAGUCGCGCGUGAAAGUCCUUCGGGAUGAGUAAAGCGGCGCACGGGUGAGUAACGCGUGGAUGAUCUACCCAUGAGUUGGGAAUAACGGUUGGAAACGAUCGCUAAUACCCGGUACGUUCCGAUUUCAACUUCGGGAGAAAGGGGGCCUCUGCUUGCAAGCUUCUGCUCAUGGAUGAGUCCGCGUCCCAUUAGCUAGUUGGUGAGGUAACGGCUCACCAAGGCAUCGAUGGGUAGCCGGUCUGAGAGGAUGACCGGCCACACUGGGACUGGAACACGGCCCAGACUCCUACGGGAAGCAGCAGUGGGGAAUAUUGCGCAAUGGGCGAAAGCCUGACGCAGCGACGCCGCGUGAGGGAUGAAGGUCUUCGGAUCGUAAACCUCUGUCAAGAGGGAAGAAACGUCAGGGUGCUAAUCAGCCCUGAUCUGACGGUACCUCUAAAGGAAGCACCGGCUAACUCCGUGCCAGCCGCCGC